rnacentral:rRNA from 1 species
GGGGAAUAUUGCACAAUGGAGGAAACUCUGAUGCAGCAACGCCGCGUGAGUGAUGAAGGUCUUCGGAUUGUAAAACUCUGUCUUAUGGGACGAUAAUGACGGUACCAUAGGAGGAAGCCACGACUAACUACGUGCCAGCAGCCGCGGUAAUACGUAGGUGGCAAGCGUUGUCCGGAUUUACUGGGCGUAAAGGAUGUGUAGGCGGAUAUUUAAGUGAGAUGUGAAAUCCCCGGGCUUAACUUGGGGGCUGCAUUUCAAACUGGAUGUCUAGAGUGCAGGAGAGGAAAGCAGAAUUCCUAGUGUAGCGGUGAAAUGCGUAGAGAUUAGGAAGAACACCAGUGGCGAAGGCGGUUCUCUGGACUGUAACUGACGCUGAGGCAUGAAAGCGUGGGGAGCAAAC